GACUAGUCAGCUACUCUACAUUGUAGAGGGUGACUCCAACUCAGCUACCUAAAUGUGAGGGGUGACAAGUCAGCUACUAUAUUUUAUGAGGGAUGUCUAAAGUCAGUGGCUCUACAUUAUGAGGGGGACUUAAACUCAGUUGCUCUACAUUAUGAGGGGUGACUAAAGUCAGCUACUAUAUUUUAUGAGGGGUGACUAAAACUCAGCUGCUCUAACAUUGUGAGGGUGACUAAAGUCAGCUGCUCUACAUUAUGAGGGUGACUAAGUAGCUGCUCUACUAUUAGGGGUGACUAAAGUCAGCUGCUCUACAUUGUGAGGGGUGUCACUAGUCAGCUACUCUCAUUGUGAGGGGUACUAGCAAGCUACUCUACAUUGUGAGAGGUGACUAAC
rnacentral:lncRNA from 1 species